GUGCCAGCAGCCGCGGUAAUACGGAGGAUCCAAGCGUUAUCCGGAAUCAUUGGGUUUAAAGGGUCCGUAGGCGGUUUAGUAAGUCAGUGGUGAAAGCCCAUCGCUCAACGGUGGAACGGCCAUUGAUACUGCUAGACUUGAAUUAUUAGGAAGUAACUAGAAUAUGUAGUGUAGCGGUGAAAUGCUUAGAGAUUACAUGGAAUACCAAUUGCGAAGGCAGGUUACUACUAAUGGAUUGACGCUGAUGGACGAAAGCGUGGGUAGCGAACAGGAUUAGAAACCCCCGUAGUCC
rnacentral:rRNA from 1 species